GUUUCAGGGUCAUGCAAAUAUUGCAAUACUCCAGAUAUUAAAAGUCGUCGCUCCUUUAGGUAUGCGUCUUCGCGAAGUGCUUUUGCAAGAUUUUGGCUUAAGUCAUUAGCUUGACCAUCUAACUUCGUCAACAUAAAUUUUAGCGCAAUAUCAAUAUCGUUUACAAAGGGCAAUGCCUAAAAACGUCCCCACCCACCAACAGACUUGAAAGUGGUGUCAUUGGAUGCGCCUCAUUUAAUAGAUCAUUUCUUAUUAUGGAGACAUAUUCCAAAAGUAUGGGGUUUAGGAACUAUAAGACAAUUUAGUAUCCUUAAUAAUCAAUUAACUUCAAGUUUGUUAACCAAUUACUCGGAGUUGGGUGGACCGAUUUUGAUGUUUUUAUUUUUAUUUUACAGAAUCUAUCUCAAAGUUAGUCUAAUUUAAUUUACAUCAAGAUCUUUUAAGCAGUUUUUGAGUUAUCAUCCGUUAAAAUAAUCGGUAUGAAGAGGCAAUGUAGGAUGUCGUAAGGACACCUUCACCACCACCAACAGACUUGAAACUAGUGUCAUCGGAAGCGCCUCCUUUUAUAGAUCAUAAUUAUGAUAACGAUUUAAUCCAAAUGUAUGGGGUUUUGGAAAUAUCCGACAUUUUAUUAUCUUUGCAUUAAAAAAAAAGUCAUCAAAAUCGGUCCACGCAACUCCGAGUAAUUGGUUAACAAACUUGAAGUUAAUUGAUUAUUAAGGAUACUAAAAUGUCGUGUAUUUCCAAAACCCCAUACAUUUCAUCAUAAAUAAUAUGAUAAUCAUGAUCUAUCGAAGGAUGCGCUUCCGAUGACACUAGUUUCAAGUCUGUUGGUGGGUGGGGACAGGGUCCAUACAAAAUCCGGCAUUGUCCUUUCUAAUACAGUUACUUUGACUACAGAAAGGCUGUUGUAGGUCUUUCUGUUUCGAGCAAUUGUGCUUCAACAUAAUUCAAAGCAUCGUCACCGCCUUGAUGAUCCGAAUUGUCACCUUCACUGUCAGUUUGUAAUGUUUCAAUGUGAAGAUUUAGCAGAAGAAAAG